rnacentral:lncRNA from 1 species
CACACAAAGACAUGAUGUUUAUUCAUUUUGUUUCCCAUUAAAGAUUGGGAUUAGUAUCUACAAUACCAUACAUGAUAGUACGAAAAUGUAUAGCCAUGACAAAACAGAUAGUACUACAUGGGCUUCAUUCUAAGUCCUCCUUUUUGUGUCCCUCUUUUUUUUUCCAAAUUUUGCAAGCACCAUAGGGAAAAAAUACAUUUUACCCAUUGGUGAACAUUGUCCAUAAGCGAUCAACUGGAAAAAAGUCAUAAUAAAUAGGGAACAGGAACUGAAUUAAAGAAGCCAAUAUCUAAUUUGAUUAGUCAAAAGAUAAUCAUAUAUCCAAGAUACUUAGUACCACGAUUACCUAAUAAUUGCAAAUCCACUAUCCGUCAACAUUCCCGAAAGCUGGCUUUUCAUAAGCCACAAGUAACAACAUUGCCUCAAACCCAACUGAAGUAAACAUAGUGCAUUAAAAAUAAUCAGGAAACUUCUGAGGAAGCAUCUCACUUUUCCAAGAGAAAGAAAUAAAAAUGUAUAAGGCUCUAUUUCAUGGUCAUCGACAAAAAAUUAUGUUAUCAGUAACAUAUUAAUUCUUCAUCUCCUUGGUUUCUUUUAAAACCUUAAGUUACCAGUUAACAUGAUAACAAAGUAUAUCGAAGAUAUGGAAGCCAACUUCUACUAACUUGCUCAACAUAAGCUAAGAGAAGGUGAUGUAACAGAACAGAUUGUGCCCUUUGCAGAUGAGCAUAUUUCAAGAACUAUGAGUUAUUCGUUCUUCAUAGCUAGUCUAACCAAUGCCGUAUACAGGUCAUAUGGCAACAAACAUGUAUGCAUAGUAACUUUUGAGGUCUGAAUACCUUGUAAAUUGAACAUGUUGCGCAAUAUCGCCUAUUUUCCCGAGGAAAAAUGGCCUCAAAAUUACCUGAUCUUUCACUACUUACAUUGCUUUACAUAUCCUCACUUUGUUCUUUUUUUGCAUCCAAAAAAACUGCAACAAUGGUUAAAUUUCAUUGUCCUAAAACUAUAAGAUGAAAUCGAGAAGAAUAAAAAGGAAAUUAUACAUUAUUCAGUGAGGUCCAAAUCGCAACAUUCUGAUGUACCUUUGCCAGUAACAGAGAUUGACCCAUUGUAAGGUUUUAACAUAGUCAGUUUAAGACCUUGAAAUUAAAAAGAAAUCCAAGCAAUUCAGUUUUCUUGAACAUUGUCUGCACUGGAACAUGAAGAUAAAGUUAUAAGAUAUAAGAAUCAAUCGACUUUUGACAUUCAAACUUAACUUGGACUAUGUAAAGACUCCAUUAAAUAGGGUACGGGAAAAUGCCAAAUUAUUUGGAGUUGUAUUUAAACACUCUUGGAAACUAUAGAAAAAAUGCAGAAAAAGAAAUUCUACUUUCGAAGGCCUUGUUCAUGUUUGAAGAAGAAGAAAGCUAUUGUUUUAAAGAAGAAUAACCAUUGUACAAACCCUUUCACAUUCUUAACUAUAUUGUUGACUCUUCUUUCACAUCCAUCACAGUCCAUUUACACAUUUGUUUAAACCUUCUACCAAGAAAAACGAAGAAGAAUUCUCGAAUAGUACAAAAAUUAUAAAUAAAUUGAGAAUAAGCAAAGAGGAAAAAAGCGGAAAGAAAGAUAGAAUAGUAAAAAGCAGAAAUUUAUUGCAUCAUAUGCAUGUACAUAGAAAUUCCAAAGAUUUCAAUAAUAGCUUCAAUUAUCCCUAAAAUCAGCACAGAUCCAUAUUUACUUAAUCCCAAAUCUUCAUUUCCAGUUUUCAGCGCAAAGUGUAAACUUUGAUGCUAACCAAGAUUAGGUAUUAAGUAUACAAAGAAAAACGAAGAAGAAUUCUCGAAUAGUACAAAAAUUAUAAAUAAAUUGAGAAUAAGCAAAGAGGAAAAAGCGGAAAGAAAGAUAGAAUAGUAAAAAGCAGAAAUUUAUUGCAUCAUAUGCAUGUACAUAGAAAUUCCAAAGAUUUCAAUAAUAGCUUCAAUUAUCCCUAAAAUCAGCACAGAUCCAUAUUUACUUAAUCCCAAAUCUUCAUUUCCAGUUUUCAGCGCAAAGUGUAAACUUUGAUGCUAACCAAGAUUAGGUAUUAAGUAUUAAGUAUUAAGUAUACAAAGAAUAUGGAGAAAGAAGGCUACAGGGGUCAAAAACUUACAGUUAGAUUAGGAGUAGGGGAGAAAAGAAUUUUCUAUAAACGGAGAGAAAUAUCCUCUCACCGGUUUCAAUCGAGAUAGAGAGAGUCGGGGAAGAGACGGUUCUUUUAAUUCUAAUAGUGAUUUUGCCUUUCAAUAGUGACUGUUGGAUGCAGUAAAAGAUAAACCGUUUUCUAGUGUUUAGGAAAUUAAAAAAAGGAGAUAAUAGAUAAA